rnacentral:rRNA from 1 species
GGGUCAUUAGGUUGGUCGUGCCACCGGUACGUACUGGUCUCACUGAUUCCUCCUUCCUGAAGAACCGUAAUGCCAUUAAUUUGGUGUUGCGGGGAAACAGGACUGUUACUUUGAGAAAAUUAGAGUGUUUAAAGCAAGCUAACGCUUGAAUACAUUAGCAUGGAAUAAUGAAAUAGGACGAUCGAUCCUAUUUUGUUGGUUUCUAGGAUUGACGUA